rnacentral:tRNA from 1 species
GUUGUGGCUCAGUGGUAGAGCGCUCACCUAGCAUGUGCGAGGCCCUGGGUUCGAUCCUCAGCAUCACA